AUAGUAAAAUCAUAUGUUCUCAAAUGCUUCUCAUGCUGGUAUAUUUGGGGCCUUGUUUAGUGGGAGAAGUGAAUCGUGAUUGGUGACAUAUGAGAGCUCUAGUUUAGUGGGAGAAGUGGAUGUAAUUAGAUCUUUAAACAGAGAGAGCCAUUAGCUUGAGCUUGCCUCCUAAGAAGAUGAAGAAAUUUCUGGAAGAGGCUUACCAGCUUUAAACAAAGCUUCCUUGAAGAAGCUUCCAAUCAGAGGAUCCACCUUUCUGCUGGGGCAGAGCAUGUUAAUGAUUUCUGCUCAUCCACAGUUGGCGGCAGCAGCAGAAAUCAUAAAGCCCGAACCUAUUUAAGAAGUUGCGGAGUUAUUUGAACUUAGUAUUCAACUUUCUUACUUGCUGUUACUACUGGGUUUGCUUGGAGUUGGUACUUUCUAUGUGAUUCGUCAAGUACUACUGGGUUCUAUGGUGAUGCUGAGAAGGAAAUUUUACCCUGUGGCCUCGGCGAUAUGGGUUAAAAGAUCGUGUGAAGCUCUAUAAAGGCGUUGUGGCUGUUAAGUCUAAGAAACGGUGGCGGUUAAAGCAAGAAGCAAACUCAAACCAAGAGCUGUUGGCCUCUCUUCCUCUUGUCUUUUUCGGUUUGGUAAUAUGUAAAACUGUAAGGGAGAUUUUAUGUUAAUAUGAUAAUGAAACUUUGUUCUUUCGUUUUGUGUUGAUGGAAAUAUAUAGAAUGCCUAAAUUAUUUGAA